rnacentral:rRNA from 1 species
UACGAAAGGGGCUAGCGUUGUUCGGAAUUACUGGGCGUAAAGCGCACGUAGGCGGCCUUGUAAGAUGGGGGUGAAAUCCCUGGGAUCAACCUAGUAACUGCCUUCAUGACUGCAAAGCUCGAGGAUGUGAGAGGUUGGCGUAAUUCAGAGUGUAGAGGUGAAAUUCGUAGAUAUUCGGAAGAACACCGGUGGUGAAGGCGGCCAACUGGCACAUUUCUGCCGCUGAGGUGCGAAAGCGGGGGUAGCAAACAGG